CAGCCAAUCUGAGCAGGAUUUAACCCCCUGUUCAUUAUUUGAUGAGCAGGGAGUUUAAUCCUGGUCAGGUUGGUUG